rnacentral:rRNA from 1 species
CCUACGGGAGGCUGCAGUGAGGAAUAUUGGUCAAUGGUCGCGAGCCUGAACCAGCCAAGUCGCGUGAGGGAAGACGGUCCUAUGGAUCGUAAACCUCUUUUGUCGGGGAGCAAAAGCUGCCACGCGUGGCGUUCCGAGAGUACCCGAAGAAAAAGCAUCGGCUAACUCCGUGCCAGCAGCCGCGGUAAUACGGAGGAUGCGAGCGUUAUCCGGAUUUAUUGGGUUUAAAGGGUGCGCAGGCGGAAGAUCAAGUCAGCGGUAAAAUCGAGGGGCUCAACCCCUUCGAGCCGUUGAAACUGGUUGUCUUGAGUUGGCGAGAAGUAUGCGGAAUGCGGGGUGUAGCGGUGAAAUGCAUAGAUAUCGCGCAGAACUCCGAUUGCGAAGGCAGCAUGCCGGCUCCACACUGACGCUGAUGCACGAAAGUGUGGGUAUCGAACAGGAUUAGAUACCCCUGUAGUC